rnacentral:tRNA from 1 species
GGGCUCGUCGCGCAGGCGUUCGGCGCGCGCGAUGACGACGCGUUGCGCGCGAGCGUGCUGCGCGCGAUGCUGC